rnacentral:rRNA from 1 species
UUCCAGACUCCUACGGGAGGCAGCAGUGGGGAAUAUUGCACAAUGGGGGGAACCCUGAUGCAGCGACGCCGCGUGGGUGAAGGAGUAUUUCGGUAUGUAAAGCCCUAUCAGCAGGGAAGAACAAUGACGGUACCUGACUAAGAAGCACCGGCUAACUACGUGCCAGCAGCCGCGGUAAUACGUAGGGGGCAAGCGUUAUCCGGAUUUACUGGGUGUAAAGGGAGCGUAGACGGCAGUGCAAGUCCGGAGUGAAAGCCCGGGGCUCAACCCUGGGACUGCUCUGGAAACUGUAAAGCUGGAGUGCGGGAGGGGCAGGCGGAAUUCCUGGUGUAGCGGUGAAAUGCGUAGAUAUCGGGAGGAACACCAGUGGCGAAGGCGGCCUACUGGGCACUAACUGACGCUGAGGCUCGAAAGCAUGGGUAGCAAACAGGAUUAGAUACCCCCGUACG